AUUGAACGCUGGCGGCAGGCCUAACACAUGCAAGUCGAGCGGAUGAAGGGAGCUUGCUCCUGGAUUCAGCGGCGGACGGGUGAUUAAUGCCUAGGAAUCUGCCUGGUAGUGGGGGAUAACGUCCGGAAACGGGCGCUAAUACCGCAUACGUCCUGAGGGAGAAAGUGGGGGAUCUUCGGACCUCACGCUAUCAGAUGAGCCUAGGUCGGAUUAGCUAGUUGGUGGGGUAAAGGCCUACCAAGGCGACGAUCCGUAACUGGUCUGAGAGGAUGAUCAGUCACACUGGAACUGAGACACGGUCCAGACUCCUACGGGAGGCAGCAGUAGGGAAUAUUGGACAAUGGGCGAAAGCCUGAUCCAGCCAUGCCGCGUGUGUGAAGAAGGUCUUCGGAUUGUAAAGCACUUUAAGUUGGGAGGAAGGGCAGUAAGUUAAUACCUUGCUGUUUUGACGUUACCAACAGAAUAAGCACCGGCUAACUUCGUG
rnacentral:rRNA from 1 species